rnacentral:rRNA from 1 species
GACGAACGCUGGCGGCGCGCUUAACACAUGCAAGUCGAGCGAGAACCAGGGCUUCGGCCCUGGGGACAGCGGCGAACGGGUGAGUAUCACGUGGAUAACCUGCCCUCGGCACCGGAAUAGCCCGGGGAAACUCGGAUUAAUGCCGGAUAGCCCCACAGCCCCUCGGGGCGGUGGGAAAAGGUAGCUUCGGCCUCUGGCCGAGGAUGGGUCCGCGGCGGAUUAGCUUGUUGGCGGGGUAAUGGCCCACCAAGGCGACGAUCCGUAGCUGGUCUGAGAGGACGAUCAGCCACACUGGGACUGAGACACGGCCCAGACUCCUACGGGAGGCAGCAGUGGGGAAUCUUGCGCAAUGGGCGAAAGCCUGACGCAGCGACGCCGCGUGCGGGAAGAAGGCCUUCGGGUUGUAAACCGCUUUUGUCAGGGAAGAAACGCUCUGGGUUAAUACCCCGGGGUAAUGACGGUACCUGAAGAAUAAGCACCGGCUAACUACGUGCCAGCCGCCGCGGUAAUAC